rnacentral:lncRNA from 1 species
GUUUUGCAAAAGAUCAUCAACCUACUCGAGAAUACAAUUUAUUUAUCAAUGUAAAAGGUAUAUCAAUACAAAGCAAGUUCAACAAAAUUCCAAUUCAAACCAUAAAAGUCGGAAAGAUUACAACAUAUGUAUCAGAAUUCGGAAUAAGAUUACAAACCAAUUUUUAUUUUUAAGCUCAAAGAAGCUUCUUGGAAUAUUAUAUUUUUACAAAUUGUUACUCAUUUCUUGGAUCUCAUCAACUCAGGUACGUGCCUAAAAGUUUCACAUUAGCCCUUAUAAGAACGGAGUCAGAAUAAUAAGGGCUGAAUUGUAAGUAUUCAAAUAGUCACAACCUGCAGUAAAGAAGUAGCCAAAUUAGGGGGAAGAAAUCCUAAGUAAUGAAAUAGCAUUUAAAAUUUAAAGAUAAAAAAGAUAUUCUAAGUAAUGAUGUAAUAUUUAAAUUUAAAAUUUAAAGAAAAGAAAUUAUAAGUAAUCUUACCGGGAGUCCACUCUCCCGGUAAGAUUACUUAUAAUUUCUCAUUCCACAAAACGAAUGCAACAGAAAAAGUUCACAAGCUAUAUUCCGUUCCAUCGCAAAUUUGCAUCGUUUGGCUGAUACAACAUUCAAAAGCAAAAUAUACACAUAAAAAAAUUGCAAGACAUCUGAUGUACCAAGAAUCAUCUUAUAGACAUUGUAUACUUGUCAAGUUUCUUAUCUUACUAAAUACUUCACAAACCAACACUAAAAAAGAUCGGAGGAACACAUUUGGAUUGUCACAGGCCUUGUGGAACCUUUGACAGUUUUUUUUAGUGGGGUUUGGGAAGAGGUUUACAAGGUGAGGCAUCAAACCUUCACCGUAAUCAACUAACUGAGCUAUAAAGAUUUCCCUAGGACAAUAUUAGUUUUAAGUAUUAAUUUACCUUAUUUCAACUGUGGGCCUGUUUUUGUGGCUUUAGCCAUGAAGCUCAGAUAAAUCUGUUUCAAGAUUCUUGUAUAUUUGCAGAAAAAAGGUACAGUUUAUCUGAAGUAAAUGGAAGUGAACUGAAGCUGAAAUGGUCAAUUUUUCUCUUAACAUAAUUCAAAAGUAUCUUACCAUGUCAUAUCUCUAAUUUAGGAGUCGUCACUAUUAGUUUCAAUAUUUCUAAAUUCUAACUAAAAAAGCAUAUGGUCUAUUUUUCUUUGAUGAAUAUAUGAUCUCUUUUUUUUUUUUUUUUAGAGAAAAGGGUCUAAAAAGCACUAUAACUUUGGCCGAAAUUGCUGUUACGAUACUAAACUUUAUGAAGGACCUUUUACCCCAGCACUAUUUAAUAAUGUAUUUUAAAGGUAUAUAUGUGCCCACGUGGACACAUCAAUUUCGGUCAAAAUUCAGAUAUAUUUCAGACCCUUUUCCCUAUUUUUAUGAACAUUUUUCCCUUCGUCUUUAAUUUUGUACAUACCUAGACAAAACUUCAGAGGACCAGCUGGGGGGCGCUGGCUGGCAUGUCACCCCAAGGGAUGCACUUCAGAGCCCCUUUUGGGGCGCGCUGGCUGGCGCGAUGCCCUACCCCCUUCCCCAGGUCUUUGACGAUUUUCUUCUCCGUUUUUCAUCUCUAAACCCUCCUAAUUUCCAUGGUUCUUUCCCCAAAUAUUUAGGAUCAAAAGUACUCUCAACUUACAACAGAUCUAACUAGAAAAUCCACCCGGAAACAUGAAUCAAAUCAACAAGAAAUUUCAACAACACAACCAAUCCAGAACUUAACGACGUCCUUCAAGAACUUCACUUUUUAACAUGUAAACAACCCAAAAUUGCUGAAUUGAAACAAGUUGGUGUGUGGGUGAACUAACCCAGCACUAAAAGAUCUCACAUACCUUAAUAGGGAUUGCCCCAGACGAAUUCCACUCCAAAAGCUUGAUGUUCUUGGCGAAAUCUUGGCUUUUCUCCCUUUCUUUCUUCUUUUCUCUCUUCUCCAAGCCCUAAGCGUAUUUCUCAAUUCUCCAAACUGACUAAGUCAUGUUUUUACCCCAAUAAAUCCCUAAAAACGAAUUAGGAAAUUAAUUAGAGAAAAUACUACUUUGCCCUUCCCUAAAUUCGGAUUGGGACUUUCCUCAAUCCAACAGUCCAACUCAAGAAAGGCAUAUCUCACUCAUACGAUGUCGAAAUCGUGCAAACUCGGUGGCGUUGGAAAGAUCUUCCCAAGGGCUUCCCGACCAUAUCAAGAACUACUCCUAACUCAUCUUGAUCUAGGAGUUAUGGUCGUUUGAAAAUGACCAAAACGCACAUUCUUAACUUAGACAAAAAUUUCCAGAUUUCCACAUGCUUUCCAAAAAUGAUUAUUUUCAGAUUUUAAACUCUUUCUAGUCGUUUCUAGGUGCGAGAUGUUACAAAAACACAUGUCUAGACAAAGUGAACUUAAGUAUCAUGAACACCUUUACGAACAGUGCCCACCAGCUAUCCAAUACGAACACUACCAAUUAAGCAUAUAAAUAAUCUAAGUCAAAGAGAAAAUAUUAAGCAUCUUAUUACCACGAGAAAAUGAUGAAAAACAGAGAGCAUUGCUCUUUGGGGAUAUUCACAUUAUAUUCCUACUUACUCAUAGCUUAAGUAUUACUAUUAAUAGUACUUUGGUAAGCAAAUAGAGAAAGGAUUUUAUUGGCCCUCACAUCUUUUUUCUUAAUUUGCAUAACUUAAAGCCUAACUAAUACCAUAUAGAAACUAUAUCAUUUAUAUCGUUUUGUAUUCUUCUUUGGCAAGAAUAUUUCACAAGAAAGCGACUGCCUUUGCAGUGAUGCUUUAGCUAGAUGAGUGUCUCAAUACUAAGCUGAAGGCUCUGUUAUAUCAUUAAACACAAGCACAAGAGAACAUAGAAACCUCAAUUAUCCAUAUUCUAAGAGAGAUAAUUUUAAGUAAAUAGAAGAUAGAAGGCAAAUAUAGUUCUGAUUUUUUUUUAUCAAUUCAAAUUUUUGGACCAACCUAGGGUUGUAAUAUCCAAGAAAGUGAAAAGAAGCCAUCUUUGAAAAUUUGAAAAGUAAAGAUAAUGCUACAAGAACUGAUUAAUAAGAGCAAGAAAAAAGAAAUGGUCAGUAAAAGUAAAAAUGCGACUAAGCUUACCUGGAAACACUCAACCCACAAGUCUUGAAAAUUGGUGAAGAUUGAUGCAACUGAGAUUUUUAUUUUUUUCAUUGGAUGAGUGAGUGGAGAAAGGUGAAGAUGCUUCUAGAGUGUAAAAUAGAGCCUUG